UUUCUACUAUUAAUAAGUGAAGGCUCUUGUACGACGAAGGGCAUUUUCGUUAAUGUGAUCAACUAUGUGAGCAUUUCAGUAAGCGGUCUUAAUUUUAUAUUUGGUGACACGUGUUUCAUCACUUGUUUUGUGGGACAGCUAGCUUCAUUUCCUCUGUACAUCCUGAACCCAUGUCUCUAUUCCUUUUUCCUCUGCAUCGUUACUUCUUGUUUGGAGCAUUCAGAGGAAUCAGAUAUGUCUUAUGAUGUUGUGAUGGUUUAGACAUUUUUCGGGCUGGCCAAUUUAUGAGGUUCUUUUUAUCUAAAGUCUUAAAUUUCUUUAAGUGAUGAAUAUCUACCGUUAAACAUACUUAUGACCGUGUAUGAAUUUAUGUUUCUCAAGUAUAAGUGUAGUUUGAGUUAUGUGUGAAAUAUAUUCUUUGGAGAUUCUUCAAUUGUGGAUCAUUGGCUCAACUUUGGUGGAGAAGUUGUUGGGUUUUGUGCCAGAGCUAGAAUUUUUAUAAGAAGACAUCAUUCGGUCGAGUAUCCAGUAUUGCUAAUUGUUGCAUGUGUGCUUAUUGUACUUUGUGUGAAUUGGGUUGUGCUAUUAUAGAAUUAUGCAGACUGAUGAACCCAAGGUGUUUAAAUAUAUGCCUGAAACAGCUAAAUAGUUUUUUGUCGCUUUUCUUUCUCCACAGGUGCUCUAUAACUUAGUCUUCUAUCAUGCAGGAGCUCCAAAGGUACAUUGAUGUGUUAUAAAAGCAUGUUAGAAUGUGUUCCAUUUGCU